rnacentral:rRNA from 1 species
CCUACGGGAGGCAGCAGUGGGGAAUAUUUGACAAUGGGGGGAACCCUGAUCCAGCCAUGCCGCGUGUGUGAAGAAGGCCCUCGGGUUGUAAAGCACUUUCAGUGAGGAAGAACGCCUGGUGGUUAAUACCCAUCAGGAAAGACAUCACUCACAGAAGAAGCACCGGCUAACUCCGUGCCAGCAGCCGCGGUAAUACGGAGGGUGCGAGCGUUAAUCGGAAUUACUGGGCGUAAAGCGCGCGUAGGUGGCUUGAUAAGCCGGUUGUGAAAGCCCCGGGCUCAACCUGGGAACGGCAUCCGGAACUGUCAAGCUAGAGUGCAGGAGAGGAAGGUAGAAUUCCCGGUGUAGCGGUGAAAUGCGUAGAGAUCGGGAGGAAUACCAGUGGCGAAGGCGGCCUUCUGGACUGACACUGACACUGAGGUGCGAAAGCGUGGGUAGCAAACAGGAUUAGAUACCCUUGUAGUC